UCCACAGUGCCUGGCUCGCAGCUCCCCCAAACCCUUGGAAUUUCCUGUGUGAUGAGAGCAGCGGGAACAUUUUUGUGUAGCCAAUGGAACAAGCUAUUCAAAUGCUUUGAGCUUCGGAAGGAAAGCACAGACUCGUGCCAGCUGAGCUACAUAAAGGAAGCUCUUGUUGGAAUAGACCCUGAAGUUGGCAAUGUAACUUGGCACAGGGGCGGAUGCAGGACUGUACAGCGUCUGGAAGGUGCAGACUAACAACCCAAACGUUGACCCCAAACACCAAUAUGUACAAGGAGGAAAGCAGUCUUUUGUUGUCCAGAUCCGUUCUCUUGACAAUGCCGCCUGCGGUGUGAGUGCUGCCUCUGUGAAUUCAGACUUGACUGAAUUGAGACAUCUAAGAGGAAGUGCAUGUUCUAAUCCAAUUCAUCUCAGCAAAUAUUUGUUGAAAUCCUGAUGAGAAAAAGCUAAAGAAUGAGUAGGAUCUGGCUAUCAUUCACCAGGAGUUCAGAGUCUAAUAGAAAACCAUCUGGACCCCUGCACACUCUGACAUCGCCCACUAGAUGGCACGACUACAGCGCCCCCCCCCCAAAACCAAUGAUGUGACCUGACAUGAUCUAAAGAACCUGAUUCACAGACUCCAAGGACAGAACUUUUUUACUGCCUUUCACUUGCCCAUCGCUGUCUGACCUUCAUGCUUCUGCUUCACCUGUCACCUUUUAGCGGUUCCAGCUCACUCUCUAUAGAGAAGCAAAGUUCCAGUGACUGUCCUCCCCCAUCGAGAUAGAUGUGCAUGCAGCAUUUCUUCCGCUUGUCAUUGGCAUUGGACUGAUGCUUCUAUCGGACUUGCUGGUACACCUCUUGGAUACUCCCUUUAUGCUGCUGGGCUUCUAAAGUACUGACUGCAGCAGUCCAUGGACUUUGCAUCCAGCUGUCUUGGGACUCUAGAGUGCCGAAUAGCCCCUUUGCCUGGCAGGCCACAAGCCCCUUUGCUUGCCAGGCCAUGCCCCCUCGCCUAUUAGACCCUUCCCCCAGAGGCAGGAAACGCCCC